UAAUAAUAAGAUAAAUUAGAAUAUAAUUGAUAUACGUCAUUAUUCUAACAUCAACAACGAUUUAUACGAUAGAGAAUUAAAAAUAAAUAAAUUUUGGCGAUAUGGCAACAUGUAUGGGCAGCUGACAGCCACAACAUCACUCGCUAGUCGUGUCCAGUACAUUGUCAAGGUGGACGUGUGCAUUAUUCCUUCAUUUUUGACAAUUUCCUUAAAAACUUGAUACUCUUUCGGUGUUAUAUACUGAUAUAAGUGGAAGUGUUCGGUGUUGUGAAGUGCUGGAGGGCCCGUAACGUGAAGUGUUGUGUUAAUAUAUAGGAAAUAUUGGUUAAAAGGUGAAGUGACGUGACUCGAUGAGAUUAGAGGAUAUUUGCGACUGAUGCCAAGUGAAGUGUUAUGGGCCCAUAACUUGAUUGGAUUAAUGGAAAUAAAUAGUGUUAACGGAGGUAGUGAACCUAAUUGAAGGUUAAAGAAAAAUUCACGCGUGGAAUCCCUUUUUCUAGUGAACAUUAAAAGUACGACGAGGUACCGUAGUGAAUUUUCCAAGUGUCCUUUUUGAAGUGAAGUCAAUUAAAACAUGUGGGAACUACAAAAGUAUUCACCACAGUUAACUACACCAGGACUUGAUUCACCCUCCGCCAGGAAUUUAAAUUAAGGUGCGUGAGGCCAAGAGUGCCAAGCCUCGUACCUAGUGAAGCAAACAUGGCGGACUUGGAGUGCAAAGAACGAUUUGACAGUCCAGGAAACAACUGGCUGAGCCCUUGGGUACUGGAGGUAGGGUGGUGUCAGUCAGCAGCACAAAGGAGAAUGCGAUUAGUGUUGCUGCUGCGCUGGACGUCUGAGUCAGGUCACGAUGGUGAGGUGUGGGUGCAACAGUUCCUCUGGAGAAGAAAGACACGUUGAGAAUUCCCAUGAGGUCAAAGAUGGGUUCUCAGGUAAAAGGUUUAGUCUCCCUUGACCUAAUAGUUAUAAUUAAUGGAUUCCCAUACCACACCUGUACCUAAUGCAGGUGUUCUCACUAUCAAGUUAACAGUGACGAGCCAGUAUUGCUGCUAUGUCCACCCAACUUCCAAAAUUGUCCUUUCUGUAAUUAAUAAAAAAAAAAAAAUCUGAUUGCCAAGUGCAAUGGCGGGCCGCAGAAAAAAUUUGGCGGGCCAAAUGUGGCCCGCGGGCCGUGCUUUGCCCACCCCUGGACUACUGUAUGGUCGAGGUUUGUAUUGUAGCAUUAUAAAUAAGUAUUUGCAGCUCUCUCAGAACAAUAGGGUAAGGAUAUAUUAGAAGGUUUUUAUUCUGAGUCAUUGUUGUGUUUUUUAUCAGAAUUUAAGUUUAGAAUUUUGCUUUGAAGCAACAAGGGCAGCAAGUUUGUCUGUGAGUGGGCCAGUAUAUUUGGUCUAGUUCAUAAUCUUUCAACGGGCUCUUCGACAGCAGUAGGUUAUUGAACGCCUAUACAAUUUAGGUCUAAUUUUUUGUAAGGUUUGUAAAUUUUUAGUUUGUACUUGUAUCACAAGUUCUUUUCUUUUUUGGUAUCGUUAUAUUGUCCAAUACCUGGCAAACUACCGUGCCCUUCAAACUACCAUUGGGGUAGUAAACCACAUCAAUAUUGGUAGAUCUAACGGCUCACCCGACAGUCUUACCAAUCUGUCCAGACAGAGCACAUGUCUGUUUCGUGCACUGUACUGAUACUACUAAUGGUAGUUUGGGUGGCGCUGUAGUUUGCCAGGUGUUGGACAAUACAAAUAAUGGUAACAGCACAUACGUAUAUACUUGUCUAUAAUUCUACCUCGUUUAUAGGUCGACUCUGAUUUUUUGACCAAGAAAUCAUUAAUUUAUGAUAUGCCACAUUUAUAGGUCGACCCAAGUUUUUGAGGGUAAUGGAACAGCAAAACCUUCACUAUAAACACUACGUCCUAUAAACUGAGGGUCGCCGUGCCUGCAACACCGAGCGCCGAAGACAAAUUGUUUACCAUUAUUACGACACUUUACACUGAAACGCGGGUAGUUUCAGCAAAAAUAUUGUAUAUUUCCAUUCAAGUAUUCAAGUCAAUUAGGAGGGAAUAUUA
rnacentral:lncRNA from 1 species